GAGUGGGGAGGAGAGAGGGACAGAGAGCCUGCUUCUUUAAAGGAGCAAAGCGGGAGAGGAGAGGAGCCACUUACACGAGUGUAAGCGGCUCCUGUCCAGUUGGUUUCUUUAAAGCAAGCAGGCUCUCUGUCUCUCUCUCCUCCCCACUC
rnacentral:miRNA from 1 species